rnacentral:lncRNA from 1 species
ACUCCUGCCUCCUAGACUGAGGAAAGAAAAGCCUCCUGGUUUGGAGCUCAUAAUCAAGUCAGCCUUGCUGCAGGGCUCAUUUUAAGCCAGUAUCCUGGACCAGGUGAGUCUUUUUAUUCAUCUCUGCUUUGUAUCCAAGUUCCAUUUAUCAGGUUACUAACUGGCCCCAUCAUGCAUUCCUUCAGUAAUUACUUUAUUUUUAGCACUGCCAAGAAAGCAAGUCUUUUCCUACAAAAACACAGGAUUUCCAGUGGGGUUAAAUAAAUGUGCCUAUGUUCUCACUUGAGACAGCAAAAAGGGAAGGAGCGAAAAUUGUGGAAAGAAUUGAAGACAGAGGGUAGAGGGUAGGGUGCCAAGUGUGGGGGAAAACUGAAUUAUGAAUAUUAAGGAAAAAUGAAAAAUAAUAUUAAACUGAAAUGGAGAGAAAUAAUAUAAGUGAGAAUAGAAAAACAUAAAACAACCUUCCCCAAAACAAAGGAUAAAGAAAAAAGAAUUCAGGGGAAGCUGUAAAUAUCUAAGACAUAGCAGCAAGGGCCUGGGAAUACUUAUAGUGUUUGAAGUUCUGAGCUUUAUUUCGCUGCAGUGAGGAUCUUAAAGAUGCUUAAACAUAUGAAUAAGCAACAAAGUAAUGUGACCGUUCAGCUACAGGAAAGGGGUCCCAAUCCAGGAUCCAGACCCCAAGAGAAGGUUCUUGGAUCUCUCACAAGAAAGAGUUCAGGGCGAGUCCAUAGAGUAAAGUGAAAGCAAGUUUCUUAAGAAAGUAAAGAAAUAAAAGAAUGGCUACUCCAUAGACUGCAUCCACGACGGCUGCUGGUUGCCCAUUUUUAUGGUUAUUUCUUGAUGAUAUGCUAAACAAGGGAUGGAUUAUUGAUGCCCUCCCUUUUUAGGCCAUAUAGGGUAACUUGCCAUGGCAUUUGUAAACUGUCAUGACGCUGGUGGGAGUGUAGCAGUGAGGACGACCAGAGGACACUUUCAUUGCCAUCUUGGUUUUGGUGGGUUUUAGCCAUCUCCUUUACUGCAAUCUGUUUUAUCAGCAAGGUCUUUAUGACCUUUAUCUUGUGCCGACCUCCUAUCUCAUCCUGUGACUUAGAAUGCCUUAACCAUCUGGGAAUGCAACCCAGUAGGUUUCAACCAUAUUUAACCAGCUUCUAUUCAAGAUGGAGUUGCUCUGGUUCAAACGCCUCUGACAGUUUUCAGAGAUUAUUGUCAAUUCAGGAGUCAAAUCAUUAGAGACUUUACAAAAAAUCAGAUGAGGGUAAUAAAACUUAUGAUAAUAUAAUAUUGACAUUUUAACACUAGGUAUAAAUAUUGUUCUAAGCAUUUUAACUAAUUUAAUCCUGAAAAAAAAAGUCCUCUAUAGUUAUUACUAUUUUUAUGCCUAUUUUACAGAUAAGGAAGCUGAAGCUUUGAGAAUUUAAUUUGCUCAAGGGGAGGCCAGGACAAGAAAUAAUGAAGAGUCCGAUGUGGCAGGAAUGUAGGAAACAAGUCAAUGAUGGAAGAUAAAUAUGGAGACGUGAUGAAGGCAAAAUUCUGAAGGGUCUUAGAGCCCAUUAUAAGACGUUUGGUUUUUAUGAAUAUUUCACUGAUUGCCUUGCCCGCUUCUCAAAGGCCCACUUCUCUGUGGAAUGAUGCAGUUGCUAAGAAGAGCUGUUAAUGUCAUGACCUCAAUGAAUAAAAAAGACUUCCUUUUCUCCAUGCCCACUCAAGUAAAAGGCUUCUCUCUGAACUCCUGCUAAUUUUUCAUCAGCAAAGGUGCACAGCCUUUUGGAAGUGAAAUGAUUACUAGUGAAGAAAAAGAAAGAACCUAACACUUAUUUUACAAGCCUCCCAGUGACCACUCUUCAGACAAAACUUCUUAUAAUAGCUUCCUUCCCUGAAUCUUUUGCGAAACAUCAAAUCACAAAGAGAUCUUAUUUCUGGCAAGGAAGACUCAUAUAUGACUCCUGGUACAUGGGUACAAGGAUUCUAUAGGCUAUAUACCUAAUCGUGGAAUUGUUGAGUCUCAGAGUAUUCAAAUGUUCAACUUGACACAUUAUCAUGAAACUGUUCUCCAGAGUGGCUUUCCAAUUUACUCUUCCACCAAAAAUGUGUUCCUAUUGAUCUACAUCUUCUCUAGAACAUCUUAUUUUAGGUAAUUUAAUUUUUUCAUUGUUAUGAAAUGGUAUCUCACUGUCUUAUGCAUUUCUCUGGUUAAUAAUGAGAUUGGUCAUAAAUUCAUAUGUUCAUUGUGAAAUGUCUAUUCUUUUGUUGCCCAUUUCAUCUAUUGGGAUGGCUAUCUUCUAACCGAUUUUACAUAGUUCUAGUGGUUGUUUAUGCAUUCUGGAAACCGGUUCUUUAUUAAUCAUAGGUGUGGCAUUAUGGUUCACAUUGUUACUCUCUUGCUAUACUGUGAUGAACAGAAGUUUUUCAUUUUCAUGAAGUAGACUUAUCAACAUUUUCUUAUGUUUUAGAUGUUUAUUUAGAAACCCUUCUCUACAAACAUUCUAAUAUUUUCUUUUAAAAGUUUUGAAGUUUUGACUUUUACAUUUAAAUUAUUAAUCAAAUUAGAAUUAUCUUCCAUAUACAUGUGAGUCCUCAAUUCUUGCUCCAUUAAACAAUUUAUCCUUCCUCGCAUCAGUAUCUUCCCACCUUAAUUGCUAUUGGAUUAUAAUAACUCUUGAUAUUUGGUGUGCCAAAUUCCCCCAACAUAUUAAUCCUUUCGGAUAUUCUAUUCUCAGCCCUUUAUUUUUCCAUAUGAAACUCAGAAUCAUGAAGUUUAUUUAAAAUUCUGCUAGGAUUUUGAUAAAAAUUUCCAUAAAAAACUUUUCAGUUUGACAUUGUUAGGACUGAGUUUUCUUAUCCAUGAAUGUGAAAUAUCUGUGUUAUUUUAUCUGCAAAAUAAAGAUAAAGAAAUAUCUUUAUUAUUGUUUAAUGUUUUUAUGAAAAGUUCAUGAUUUUUUAUCUAGAGGUAUCACACAUCUUUUUUUAGAUAUAUUCUAGGAUACUUUUUAGUUUUGUUGCUUUUGUAAGUGUUGUCAUGUUGGGAGUCUCUGAGAACCUCCUCAAGCUUGAUGACCCACUAGAAGGACUCUCAGGACUUAGAAGUGGUUAUAUUGAUGGUCACAGUUUAUUAUAACAAAAAGACACAGAUAACAAUAAACAAAGAGAAAAGGCACAUGGGGUGAAGUUCAGGAGAAAUAAGGCACAAGCCUUCAGGUAUUCCCCUCCCAGGAGUAAAUAUGCUAACUGAAGCACACAAAAAAAGAAAAGAUAAAUGCAAAAAAGAGCAUAAAAUAUAUAUGACAUAGUUUUAAAAAUGUGUAACAUGCAUGUAAUUGAAGUAUCAGAAAGAAUGGAGACAAGGAAUAGGGGAAGAAGGAAUAUUUGAAGAGAUAAUAACCAAAAACUUUCUAAAACUAACCCACAAAAUCAAGAAAUUCUGAAGAAACUAGAAAAGAUACAUGCAAAAUAAAUCCCAUUUUGGCUCAUAGUGAACUCCUGAAAGCCAAGGACAAGGACCAAUUACUUAAAGCACCCAAAAAAAAACAACAUUGCUUUCAUAAUAGCAAUAAAAGACUAAUAACUGAAUUUUCUACACAAAUGAUGGAAGCUGGAAGAUAUAAAGAUCAUAAGGAUAUAUUCUAUUCCUGGAAUUGAUGUGCCUUGGUCAUAAUGUCUUUUUUAAAAUACAAAGUUGUAAUCAGGUUUCUAAAUAGUUUAAGAUUUUUGCAUCUAAUUGUUUGGAAAGUUCCCCCUUUUUUAUACUCAUAUCUGCAUUAGCUAUCAAGGCUAAAAAUGACUGCUUUAAAAGAGUUAAGGAAAGUUUCCUCUUUGUUAUACCUAUGAAAAAGUUUAUAUACAAUUAAAAUUUGAUGAUAACAUUUGUUAUAUUUUCUUAUAGAACUAUUUGUAUUUGGUGUUCUAUUUAUGAGGAGGCUUUUAAAAUAUUGAUUUGACUUCUUUAGUAGUUGUAGGGCACUGAAGUUUUCUGGUACUCUAACUGCAGCCCACGUAACUUAUCUUAUAUUCUCAUUAUCAUUUAGUUCUAAGUAUUUUUUUACUUUCUAUUAUAAAGUAUUCUUUGACCUAGGAGGUAUUUAGAAGUUUGCUUUUAAACUGUCAAAUGUAUGAAAUUGUCUUAAUUUUCCUUUUAUUACUAAUAGCUACAUUAUUUUCCUUCUUGUGAGAGAAGGUAGUCUGUGGUACUUUUGGAAAUAUUUAAAGACUUUUUGGCCUAGUAUGUGAUAAAUUUGUGAAAAUGUUCCUUGCAUGUCAAAAAGAAUUAUCCAGAAUUAUCCAAUAAUUGGAUAAAUGUUCUUAAUAUGUUUAUUAGGACAUUCAUGUUCAUUGUGUUUACAAUUUCUAUAACAUUGCUAGUUUUGAUCUGCUUUUCAUGUCAAUACCUGAGAUAGGUCUGUUUAAAUUUCUUACUAUAAUGGUAGAUUUGUUACAAUUUCAUUGUAGCCUGUACAUUUUUGCUUUAUAUAUGCUGAAUAAAUGUUAAUAUGUGCCCAUAUAAGCUUAAACAUUAUAAUUACUUUAUCUUCCUGGAAAAUUGUAAUUU